UACGGGGGGUGCGAGCGUUGUCCGGAAUCACUGGGCGUAAAGGGCGCGUAGGUGGUUUGAUAAGGGUGUGGUGAAAGUCCGGGGCUCAACCCCGGAUCUGCCGUGCCGACUGUCAAACUCGAGGGCUGUAGAGGCAGACGGAAUUCCGGGUGUAGCGGUGGAAUGCGUAGAUAUCGGGAGGAACACCUGUGGCGAAAGCGGCGCACUGGACCACAACUGACGCUGAGGCGCGAAAGCUAGGGGAGCAAACAGG
rnacentral:rRNA from 1 species